UCCUGGUUAACCCAGGCAGUCUCACUAGAGUUCCCACCAUUACGUGUUGGCAACUAGUAAUAAGGGUUGCGCUCGUUGCUGGACUUAACCAAACACCUCACGGCACGAGCUGACGACAGCCAUGCAGCACCUGUGCAGAGGCCCCGAAGGGAAAUACCAUUUCUGGUAUCGUCCUCUGCAUGUCAAGUCUGGGUAAGGUUCUUCGCGUUGCAUCGAAUUAAACCACAUGCUCCACUGCUUGUGCGGGUCCCCGUCAAUUCUUUUGAGUUUCACCCUUGCGAGUGUACUCCUCAGGCGGUAUACUUAUCGCGUUAGCUACGGCACAGUCGGGGUUGAGUCCAACUACACCAAGUAUACAUCGUUUACAGCAAGGACUAC
rnacentral:misc_RNA from 1 species